UACAGAGGGGGCAAGCGUUGUUCGGAAUUAUUGGGCGUAAAGGGCGCGUAGGCGGCUUGGCAAGUGGAUGGUGAAAUCCCUCGGCUUAACCGAGGAACUGCCGUCCAAACUGCUUCGCUUGAGACCGGGAGAGGUGAGUGGAAUUCCCAGUGUAGCGGUGAAAUGCGUAGAUAUUGGGAGGAACACCAGUGGCAAAGGCGGCUCACUGGACCGGUACUGACGCUGAGGAGCGAAAGCGUGGGGAGCGAACAGG
rnacentral:rRNA from 1 species